GCGAUGGUGUUAUAGGGGUGAGCAUAGCUGCUUGCCAACCAGUUGAGCCAGGUUUGAAUCCUGGCUGUCCCA